rnacentral:rRNA from 1 species
CUACGGAGGGUGCGAGCGUUAAUCGGAAUUACUGGGCGUAAAGCGUACGUAGGCGGUUUGCUAAGUCAGAUGUGAAAGCCCGGGCUUAACCUGGGAACUGCAUUUGAUACUGGCAGACUAGAGUAUGAUAGAGGGGGGUAGAAUUCCUGGUGUAGCGGUGAAAUGCGUAGAUAUCAGGAGGAAUACCAGUGGCGAAGGCGGCCCCCUGGAUCAAUACUGACGCUGAGGUACGAAAGCGUGGGGAGCGAACAGGAUUAGAAACCCGAGUAGUCC